rnacentral:misc_RNA from 1 species
GAUGAAGAACGCAGUGAAAUGCGAUAAGUAAUGUGAAUUGCAGAAUUCAGUGAAUCAUCGAAUCUUUGAACGCACAUUGCGCCCCUUGGUAUUCGGAGGGGCAUGCCUGUUCGAGCGUCAUUAUAACCCCUCAAGCUCAGCUUGGUGUUGGGGCCUGCUGCACUGGCAGCCCUUAAAAUCAGUGGCGGCGCCAUCUGGCUCUAAGCGUAGUAAUUCUUCUCGCUAUGGAGUCCUGGUGGAUGCUUGCCAUCAACCCCCAAUUUUUCUAUGGUUGACCUCGGAUCAGGUAGGGAUACCCGCUGAACUUAAGCAUAUCAAUAAGCGGAGGA